GACUAAUCACCCUGUACUGCCUUCCCACUGGCUAAAAUGUAAAUCGCCGGCGGGAUGACAUUAGGAGCGAUUUGUUUUCCGAAGUCAGAAACUUCAGACAGCUAUGGAAAAUGAAUCGCUCCUACAAAAUUGUAGCACUUUAGAAUCUGCACAGGGACUUUAAACUUAGAUUUUGGGAAAAAUAGAAAACAAAACAAAAAAAAGUCAUUAUUUUUGAUGAACAAUCUGAAAACAAUUGACCUGAAAAAUGUUUGUAAGGAGAACGACCUCUUGGUGAUUUUCUUUUUGCAAAUUCAAUAGGUUGACAUGUAAUGCAAGUAGGACAGUAAUGCAUUUUCCCUUUACUUGAGAAGAUGUCAAAAACAGAGCUGUACAUUUGUAUUAAGAACAUGGUUUACAACUUUCUUAUAGACUUGUCUUUUCAAGCCUCUCUAUCCCAACUGGGCAAUGUAUGUGAAAUUUGUAGGGGUCAGCAAAGCCAUUCUUAAACCUUACAAUUGUCCUGUUUAGCUACAUUUGUUAUCAUUUAACUGUAUCCCAUAAUACAAGUGAUAAAGGUAAUCUAUACCUGCUACACACAGGGACAAAUUAUAGAUGUAACUAUGACAGUUUUGAGUUUGUGCUAGAAGCUUUUGGCUUUAGAAAUCACUUGUAUCUGUGUAUUUUAAUGGCGGAAGGUAUAGAAGUUCAGAAUCCAGUGCUAAAUAUAAACAUUCCUCUUUUUCACUAUAAUACAAAUGAUCCAAUGCCAUUUGGUUUAUAAGAUCUAACUAGCACUAGCUUAACCAUUUUUUUUGCUAAAAGACAACUUUGGUUGCCUUACUUAUUAAGGAUGUGACUGGAACAAUAUAUAUAUUAUAUAUCUAUAUCAAAGGCACCUCACAGAGCAUACCUUCCUGUAAAGAAAUCUGCAGUUUUAGUUACAGAAAUAUAUGCAGUAGUAACUACACUUAGUAUUCAUCUGCCCCUUUACUGGGGAACAGUAAUGUGUGAUGGUUGCUGAGAAGUGCUUCUCUUGUAAAGUCUAAAAGCAAAUUUUCAUUAAAAUGCAUUGAGGUAUCCAGUAGCAUGGGGUUGAUCUGCACAACCUAACUGACCUCUAGCUAUGAUGGCAAGUGAUUGUUUGGAGGCUGCUAGGGUACCCAACAAUCUCUUUUAGUAAGAGACUCCUCAAAGAUGCUGUGUGAAUAGCUGCCAUGACAUAUUUAUAGAAUUCUCAUAUAUUUCAGAAAUCAUUACGAAAGGUAAUUGCUGACAUCUAACUAGUUUUAAUGUGGCAGCACAUCACACCACCAUUCACCCAUUAUAAUAAUGUGGACGUUUCUAGUCUAGAGUGCAAGUCCUAAACUAAUUCCUAUAGUUGAUUUUUCCUGAAACAGACCCCUCCCCAAGGGAUAAUAGUAUGCAAGUUUUCCCUCCCCAAGGGAUAAUAGGAUGCCUUUUUAAAAGCUCCCACUUAUGAGAAUGACUUAGUAGUAGACAUACUUAGCAUCUUUAUAUAGUAACAGGGGUAUUAAAAAGGCACUUAAGCAUUACUCUGGAAUAUUAAUUUCCUCAAAUAUACAAUAGCAGUGUCACACUGGAAAGAUAAUUAAGCUUGAUGUCCACUUGUUUAACUGGGAUGUCGAAUCAAUAUGGUGGGCAAAAUCUGAAGUUGAUUCCUUGAACCAGUGUUCGUAUCACACAGGUCUAUGCUAGUUUAAAGACAUACCACUUUGCUGAAGUAAAGUCAAAUUGUUAACAGGUUUCUGCCUCUAUUGACACCAUUAGUGUCCUGUUUCAGUAAAAGAUCACAUAUUUAUAUACAGAAUAUGCAUCAACCUAGGUGACUCUUAACAGUAUGGUAGCACAGUUAGCUUUGCUACCAUGGUAAAUUACCAUCUGUAAGUUUUCCAUAUUACAAGUUUAAUAUAGACCCGUAGGUAAAAUGUUUCCAUUAUGUAGAAUGGCAUUUUGAGGAAGUUACUUGCAACUGAAAAAGAAAUGUAUUUUGUAUCUACAACAUUUUAAAGCAGUUCUGUAUUUGUCAUACAUAGAUAAUUUCUAGAACCCUUUGGAGUUUUUUUACAUGGCUGUGGUUUGAAAAAUAACUAAGCAUUGUAUUACCUUUUUCCACUAUAUUCAAUGUAAAAUCAUGAAGGUCUUCACAAUAUUUUGCAUAAACUAGGUGUACUAUCCAUUGUAUGCCAGCUCUAUGCUGGCAUACAAUGUAUACUGAUUUUGUGGCAGAUUGUUGUACCAACCUUGUACCUAAGGGAUGAGUUAAGUGUCAGAUUAUUUUUUUCAGAUACUCGCUAUGUCUUGUGCAUAAAGACCAAUGACCAGCAAGUGCAAGAAUAAAUGUGAUUCGGUGAAAUAUUUCAAUGUUAUUUGGACUUUGAAAAGGUCACUAGUUAAACAUUUUCUUUUGAUUAAAUGUAAGACUUCUUUACUGGCAUGCCUUAUUACAGAAAUAUAUGUAGUCUUCAUAUAUUUGACAUGGUUAUUAAUAUUUACAGUGUGGUGACACCGAGCUGAGUGCACUGCUUGCAUGCGUACCUCCAUGCAUUGUGUAGUGUUUGCUAUUGAUGAUGAAAAAUGUAACAUUUGCUUUUAAUUCUGCACUAGAUCAGGUACUUGGCACAUAAUGGUACAGAAGUGUACAUUUAAAAUAGAAAGCAACUAUGUGACCUAGGCACAUGCCUUUAACCAACUUUGAUGUUCAGCUUGAAAUUUAUCAUGCAAAGGAUUUACUUUUGUUCAACUGUUUCCAUAUACUGUGCUGAUUAUUUACUAUAAUACAUGUUUGGGCCAGUUUAUAACAAAUUAUGUCAUCCAAAGAGGUCAGUAGAGCUGGUAAGCAGCAUUUGGGCAUAAAUAUCUCUUAGAAGGCCACAUUUAUCCAACAGGCCUCCAUUUAGUUAUUCACUUGUAUAAUGCAUUCUUUGCAAUUGGGCAUCACUGAGAUUACUGCUAAAUUACUGUUCAUCAAAAACUAUAUUUGAAAUAGUCAUUGGACAAGCAAAUGCUAAUAAUUUGAGGGGUGUCAAUAUGUUAUUCACCCCUAUCACAAUAUUUUUCUAAAUGUUAUCCCCCCCCCCCAUAUAAAGUCCUUUACUGCCAGCUAAUGGACAGUCCCAUUAAAAAACCUAAUCUUUCCUAAGCUUUUAUAUUCAUACAACUGCAUUUCACAUAAAGCCUCCAAAAAUGGCAAAUUUGCUUUAGUUCAUUAUAGGAAAAUUUUAUGGCCCCCAUAGUGUAAACCUGUUAAUGCAUGUGCUCGGGUCUGAGCCAAGGUUGCGUAACAAGGUGCAUGGUUAUGCUUAAUUGCCAUUGUUUGAAAGUCAAUUCUGUAUACGUGUAUGGAAUUUGUUGUGUUGUGCAGUAUUUUAAGCAUAAAACUAGCAAAUAUUAAAUGUGCAGUUACUUUUUGCUGUAAACACCUGUACUUAGAGAAUAAGCUGUCAGUUUAUAUGAACUUUUGUAUAUCAUAAUAGCCUAAAUUAUGGUAUUUUUGUUCUGAAAGCAGGCAUUUUGUUUUAAAUGUGUUUUAUGUAUUUCUUCUUUCAGGACUUUUUUCCAUUUUAAUAGUGGGGUGUUUUGUGGAAAAAUGUUCUGUAAGAUAUUGAAUGGAAAAAUGUCACAUGAAAUAAGUCUGUUGCCUUGGUAGCAGACCUAAAUGCCUUAGUUCACCAACAUUUAAAAAGGAUCUACAUUGUAAUAUACAAAAAACAAAUAUGCUACUAUUGGCAUAUUAGCUUGCAGAUUUUAAAAUAUUGCCUGUUACAGUUUAGCAGAAAAAAUCUUUAAGUAAAAAACCAUAAACACUUCCGAUAAAUGCAUUCCUUUGGUACUAUAGCUAUCUGGAUUUGUAGCUGGCGCAUGGGAAAAAUAGAUCCUUAUUUUCAAGCAGCUGUUUACAAGUAGAAAGCUGAUAGAAGAAAUGUCACUUUAUUACUUGCACAUUUAACUAUAUUGGCAGCUUUAAAAAGGAAAUAUAUAUAUAUAUAUAUUAGUGUAUGUGCUUUUGUGAUGCCAGUUCCCGUGUUUUAAGUGAAAACAUGAUGAUUUCAUACAUUUGUGCUGUGUCCACAAGAUUUCUGGAAAGUGAAGAAUAUCCAUUUCUGGCUCACAUAACAUAACCUAGCAGUCAUUCAAACAGUGCAUACACAGUUGAGCUAUUUUUGUUUUAUUCUCAAUAAAUAGUUUCUUUUGAGGAAAAUGUCUUUCUGCCUGGAUGUGAAUUGACGGCAACAUUCUCCCUUGGUUUUCAGCUGAGGGGACUGUCCCAUUUGUGAAUGCUUGCAAUGUAAAACAAAGGCUGUGAUUCAUAAUCCACAACCUGUACAACACUGACAUAUUCAUUAGACAGAUUUUUUUUUUUAUAAAUUUUCUUUUGUUUAACUUUUAUUUUUUUAACGUUUGUUGAAUUGGAAGAGAACCUCUAGCUGUUCCAUUAUCCGUUUUGUCAUUUGAACGGAUUAUUUGGCUGCUAAUUCACCUUAGGAAGGACCUGUGUAUUAAUUUCCUACCUGAAACCGUGAGAAUUUGACACUUUCAUCUCAUCUGAGGCUGACACCACUAUCUGAAGAGCACAGUUUCCUCACUUAAGGCAUUUGAUUUGUUUUGUUCAUCCUGAUCCUAAUUUGGUUUUAUUUUGAAGUUUGGUUUUAAUCUUUCACAUUUUCAGCAAAUUCUCAAACCAAAGAGAACAUGAUAGCAGAUAUAAAAUGUAAUUAAAGGUGUUUUGUAACAGUCUGAGGAGCCCUCUACUUCGGGGAUCUUUGAGCUUUGCAGUGAAGUUUUGUUUUUUUUGUUUUUUAGCUCUCAGGAGAAGCAUUUCAUCGAUGUGUUAUUUCUCCCUUUCCAUUGGUCAUCCUUGAGGCCAGGUGGGAGGGGCUUUCAGACAAAAUGGAUGUGUAUUUAUUUACACAGUUUAAAAAUGCGGAGGAGCCAAAGAUUGCCCAGUACUUUUUACUUGGUAAGGCAAAGCAUGAACGAUGGAACCAUCUUUGAGAAUUGUGCUGCUGCAUCCUUCUCUACCAGGUUUUCACCUUUGUCUCUCCCUGUGGGAAGCCUGGUGCUGUUACAGGAGCAUACAAUUCUGUGCUAGGAGAUAUUGUGUGCCACACUGACAACAGUUUAUGAAGAGGAGUAGACCAUGGAGCACUCUCUGUCUCUGAAAAACCUCCCAGUGAUCCUUGGUCUGGAUGCAGCAGUGGCAGAGUUGACAACAUACAGUUAUUGUUUCCAUCUUGCAACUGAUGGGAAGAGAUGAGCUGGCUAGUAGGGAACAGGUGAUUAACAGCAACAGCUGUCCUGAUAAUGUCUGCAAGGUGUGUUCUCAUGGAAAUCUCUGGUAAAGAGCACCCACCUCCCCAUUCCUUCAGUUUCAGAAACUGGGCAUCACGGAGUAAAAUGAGCAUAAGCAAUGCUACACCAGGGUGAAAAAACAGUAUUGGGCACUGUGCUGGUCAGUCGUUUCAGAUUCUCUGUCUGCAGCCUGACCGCAAUCAUCUUUCAUUCAGCUAUUGGCAAGCAAGCAGCGAAGAUGUAACAAGGCUAUGGACCUGACAUACAACAAUCCAUAAAUGCUGAUCGCCAUGGGUUGUGUUUAGUUGACUGGAGUGGGGAGCUUGUAGCUUCAGGCCCAAAACUGAUUUGAACUCUUGUUAUCAACGGAUAUGGAUGAAAUGAAGCUGCAACAACUCUGUAUUCCAUGAAUAACACAGGUCAGGUGGGUUUUGCAAGAACAUUUUAUGAUGUCACAGGAAGGAAUCUGGAGAGGAAUUAAUAAAAAGAGGAAGGAAAUACAGUAUAUCCAUGCUAGAGAAAACCUGUAACCUUUUCACAGCUCAAUUUCAACUGCAGACCCUAAGGUUCCUAACGGCAGCAAAGCUAGAUGAGAACACACAGAACAGAACUCCUGAGCGAGUGGAUGAAAGGACCCAACUAUGUUUGCUGCAAGAUUGCUUCAUGAGAAUAUUCCCAAGGCUUCUCACUUCAGUUUGUAAUUGAGCUCAUUGUGUGCUGACUCAGAAUCCCCCUUUGUGAGCACCACCAAGACCAUUUCUUAUGCUGCUGAUAAAGUUAAAGACCUUGACCUUGAGCAGCAUGCCUCCAUCAAGUACUGACGCACAAAACAGUCUAAAUCUUCCCCAAUUACGCAGCAGUGCAUUUGUGUGGUUCAGUUAAAGGCUAGGGGAUGCCAAAUAUUACCUAUGCUAUGCUUUGUCCAGGACACUGUCGAAUGGGAAGGUCAUAUUCUUUACCUCAACUACAGAAGCUACUGAAUUCCUGGGAAAUUUGAUUAGCUCAGCUUACUACUAGGAGGUAGUAAGUAAAAUGACCUAUGAUCUUGAAGGUCGGUCUUCUGUCUCAGUUGGGCAUUGUCUCUCACCGUUAAACCUACUACUGUUAGACUCACUAUAUACCAUAAGAAAUGUAGUAUCUGUCAGGGCACUAUAUACUUAAUAUAUAAUUCAUUGGGGCAUAUUUUUUAACACUGGAGACAAACAUCCCCGGUGAUAUUGUCCAUUGCAUUUGUUUUCUAACUUGUAGGUGACUGUUCAAAUCUAAUUAUCUUAGGCCCUUGGUCACCACUGUAAGGUUCCUAGAACACUAUGCUCCACCAUUACUGGUCCAUGGCCAGGUACCCAGCUCCCCUAUCAAAUUUACCCUUAGAUUUUUUUAUAGUUACUUCUCCCUUCACCAUUGACACAAAACUACAGUAUGAAUAUAAUAUAAAUACUGUACAUUCUUUAAAGCCAUAUGUAGAAUUGAUUAUAUAUCUAUAUACUGAUGAUGUGCAAUUAUAUUUCUAAGACCCAGGCCCAUCUCUACAGGCAGUUUUUAACUUAGUAGAAGACUAAUCCACUGGGAAAAAAGCCAAUGUCUUUCCUAUAAACAAGAACAUACAGUGGAUCCUCAUGCCUUCCCACACACCCUUUGGGUUAAUUAAUUAAAUUACCUAAGGAUAGUGAUAGUUAGGGAUAAUAAAACAAUACACUAGCCUAAAUCUCAGACUAAUAACCAAGGAGAUGGCACAAAUGCUCACUAGGUGUCUCUCCCAUUGACAAUCUAGGAGAGAAUCCAUUUAUUGAAAAUAAUAUUCCUCCCUUAGUACCUAUAUAGAUAGAUAGAUAUCCCCAUCUAUAUUAAUACAUGUAACAUUAAAGGAGAACUCCACAAAAACAUAACUUAAA